AGGGUUUGAUCAUGGCUCAGAACGUACGCUGGCGGCACGCCUAACACAUGCAAGUCGAGCGAGGUAGCAAUACCUAGCGGCAGACGGGUGCGUAACAUGUGGGAAUCUGCCUUUUGGUUCGGAAUAACACGGGGAAACCUGUGCUAAUACCGGAUAAGUCCUUACGGAGAAAGUUUUAAUGCCAAAAGAUGAGCCCGCAUUUGAUUAGUUUGUUGGUGAGGUAAUGGCUCACCAAGACUACAAUCAAUAGCUGAUUUGAGAGGAUGAUCAGCCACACUGGGACUGAGAUACGGCCCAGACUCCUACGGGAGGCAGCAGUGGGGAAUCUUGCACAAUGGGCGAAAGCCUGAUGCAGCGAUGCCGCGUGAGUGAAGAAGGCCUUUGGGUUGUAAAGCUCUUUUGUCGGGAAAGAUAAUGACUGUACCCGAAGAAUAAGGUCCGGCUAACUUCGUGCCAGCAGCCGCGGUAAUACGAAGGGACCUAGCGUAGUUCGGAAUUACUGGGCGUAAAGAGUAUGUAGGCGGCUAGAUAAGUUAAUUGUGAAAGCCCAAAGCUUAACUUUGGAAUUGCAAUUAAAACUAUUUAGCUAGAGUAUGAUAGAGGAAAGCGGAAUACAUAGUGUAGAGGUGAAAUUCGUAGAUAUUAUGUAGAACACCAGUUGCGAAGGCGGCUUUCUGGAUCAUUACUGACACUGAGGAACGAAAGCAUGGGUAGCGAAGAGGAUUAGAUACCCUCGUAGUCCAUGCCGUAAACGAUGUGUGUUAGACGUUGGAAAUUUAUUUUCAGUGUCGCAGCGAAAGCGAUAAACACACCGCCUGGGGAGUACGACCGCAAGGUUAAAACUCAAAUGAAUUGACGGGGACCCGCACAAGUAGUGGAGCAUGUGGUUUAAUUCGAAGAUACGCGCAGAACCUUACCAACACUUGACAUGUUCGUCGCGACUCUAAGAGAUUAGAGUUUUCGGUUCGGCCGGACGAAACACAGGUGCUGCAUGGCUGUCGUCAGCUCGUGUCGUGAGAUGUUGGGUUAAGUCCCGCAACGAGCGCAACCCUCACUUUUAGUUGCCAUCAUUAAGUUGGGCACUCUGAAAGAACUGCCAGUGAUAAGCUGGAGGAAGGUGGGGAUGACGUCAAGUCCUCAUGGCCCUUACGUGUUGGGCUACACACGUGCUACAAUGGUAUCUACAACAGGAAGCAAGACUGCGAGGUCAAGCAAAUCCUUAAAAGAUACCUCAGUUCGGAUUGCACUCUGCAACUCGAGUGCAUGAAGCUGGAAUUACUAGUAAUCGUGGAUCAGCGUGCCACGGUGAAUGCGUUCCCGGGUCUUGUACACACCGCCCGUCACACCAUGGGAGUUGGUUCUACCUUAAGGCAAGGUUUCAAACCCUUGACCACGGUAUAGUCAGCGACUGGGGUGAAGUCAUAACAAGGUAGCCGUA
rnacentral:rRNA from 1 species